AAUUCCCCAGGAAUUGGGAGCAAAUCCCAAAAAUCCUUUAUUGGCAGUGGGGGGGGAUUGCGACGUUCUGGGGGGGGCCGGGGGAUCCCCCCGGGGAAUCUGGGGAUCACAGAGAGACCUCCCGGGGCUGGGAACAGCGGGAUCCCAAUGGAUCCCAACGGAUCCCAAUGGAUCCCCGGGGAUCUGCCCCAGAUGGGGGCGCUCGGGGGGCUCCUCUGUGUGAGUGGGCAGCUGGAUCUGGGAUCUGCACCUGGAGAUCUGCCAGAAUCAGAUCCUGGGAUCUGGGAUCUGCACCUGGAGAACCAGAAUCUGAUCCUGGGAUCUGCACCUGGAGCAGAGCUGGGAUCAGAUCCCGGGAUCUGGGAUCUGCACCUGGAACAGAACCAGAAUCGGAUCCCGGGAUCUGGGAUCUGCACCUGGAGCAGAGCUGAACCAAUCAGAUCCCGGGAUCUGGGAUCUGCACCUGGAACAGAACCAGAAUCCGAUUCCAGGAUCUGGGAUCUGUAUUGGGAACAGAACUGGAAUCUGAUCCUGGGAUCUGCACCGGGAGCAGAACCAGAAUCAGAUCCCGGGAUCUGGGAUCCACACUGGGAGCAGUUGGGGACAGGUGGGAUCCCCCUGACCCGGAUCCCACAGGAGAUCCCCCUGCUCCAGAGCCCCCUUAGGAUGAGAGAGGGAUCCCUGCUCCAGAAUUCUGCCGGAAUUCCCUUCCCGAGGGAGGUGCAGGAGGGAUCCCCUGAUCCCAGAUCCCACAGGAGGGAUCACCCGGGUCCCAGAUCCCUCAGGAGCCGCAGGUGGGAUCCCCUGAUCCGGAUCCCAGACCCCACAGGUGGGGAUCCCCUGAUCCCAGAUCCCACAGGAGGAGCAGGUGGAACCCUCUGAUCCCAGAUCCCUCAGGAGCCGCAGGUGGGAUCCCCUGAUCUGGAUCCCAGAUCCCACAGGAGGGAUCCCCUGAUCUGGAUCCCAGAUCCCA
ensembl:lncRNA